UGGAUGUAGAGAGAGCAGAGUGCCUGAAGAGUGGCUCUUCUGUGAAUGACACAUCCAACAGCAACGUGGGCCUACUCCUCACAGGUGGCAGACACCAUGGCCUUCCUGUGAUAUUGUGUCCUAUAUAU